GGGCCCGCACAAGCGGUGGAGCAUGUGGUUCAAUUCGACGCAACGCGAAGAACCUUACCCAGGCUUGAACAGCGAGUGACAAACUACGAAAGUGGUCUUCCGCAAGGACACUCGUAGAGGUGCUGCAUGGCUGUCGUCAGCUCGUGUCGUGAGAUGUUGGGUUAAGUCCCGCAACGAGCGCAACCCUUGUCUGCUGUUGCCAUCAGGUUAAGCUGGGCACUCUGCAGAGACUGCCGGUGAUAAACCGGAGGAAGGUGGGGAUGACGUCAAGUCAGCAUGGCCUUUAUGUCUGGGGCUACACACGUGCUACAAUGGCCGGUACAAACCGUCGCAAAACCGUAAGGUGGAGCUAAUCGGAGAAAGCCGGUCUCAGUUCGGAUAGCAGGCUGCAACUCGCCUGCUUGAAGUUGGAAUCGCUAGUAAUCGCGGAUCAGCACGCCGCGGUGAAUACGUUCCCGGGCCUU
rnacentral:rRNA from 1 species